AGUGAACGCUGGCGGCGUGCCUAAUACAUGCAAGUCGAACGGAGUGGCUCUCGGUUGAGUACUGUAUAGCUAAUCUGCCCUACACUAGCUGACAACAGUUGGAAACGACUGCUAAUACUCUAUAGUGUAGGAUGUUGCCAUAUUGUAUCAGCUAGUUGGUGAGGUAAUGGCUCACGAAGGCUAUGACGCAUAACUGGUCUGAGAGGAUGAUCAGUCACACUGGAGUGGAGACACAGUCCAGACUCCUACGGGAGGCAGCAGUAGGGAAUAGUGCUCAAUGGGGGGAACCCUGAAGCAGCAACGCCGCGUGGGGGAUGACACUUUUCGAAGCGUAAAGUCCUUUUGUUAGGGAAGCGGUACCUAACGAAUAAGCACCGGCUAACUACGUGCCAGCAGCCGCGGUAAUUC
rnacentral:rRNA from 1 species